UGCAUUUGCCUAAGAUUGCCAAGUUUAAGUGGAAAGAAGCACUGUAUGUGUGUGUGAGAGUGUGUGUGUGUGUGUGUGUAUGUGUAUGUGUGUGUGUGAGUGCAGGGAGAGAGAGAAAAAGAAACCAAAACACAGAUGCACACACAGAGAGAAGAGAGACAGAGAGUGCAAAAAAAAGAAAUGCAUCAUCGAAAUCAUCUUGAGAAUACCCGAGGUUCAGGUGGGAAGCUAGGAUCCCUUAGCAAGACAAAUCAAGGCUCCAGCAACUCCAUUGCAUCACCUGUCCGAAGGUCACCGUGAACUUGUACUUGGUAAGCCUUACUCUACUCAGAAAGAG
rnacentral:lncRNA from 13 species